GAACUCAUUCACUCGGGUAGGAGUCACGAUCUCGUACUCGCUGAGCUUCUCCAGCAGCUGGGCUGCGAGGGGACAGACGCAUAUGCCGCUGAGUGAGGCGGCCGAGCCCCGCGGCCCCGGGCGGCGGCAGCGCAGCACUCCCCACGCCCCUCCCCGAGCACCCCCUUACCUUGCCUGGGGUGCAGCUUCUGCCUCCUCGCUCCCGUCCUCAAGCCGUCGAUGAAGAGCGUGGCAGCUUGAAGAAGUGGACCAGCAAUUGAAGAAUCCCGUGUGGCACUUCUUAUAGCAGUUGUUUUCUUCUGCAUUUCUCAGAUAAGAGACAAUUCAAGCAACUUUUGUUCAGGAUUAGAUUUGUGUUAUGCACUUUUCAGGCACCCUGAGGGAAAAGGAAGAUUAUAUCCUUAUCUGAGUUUGUUUUACAGUGUGAAAGGUCUCUGUAAAAAUUUAAGACAUCCUUUAGAGCUAAAUGUAAUUAAGCGUUGUCUUCUACCCCUUCCCCAAAUCAAAAACCCCAGGCUUGAUUUAAAAGGCUUUUAAACCUUUUGAGCAUAUAAGCAAGGGAAAAGAGAAAUCUGGAAGUUCAAUUUGCACUUCCAUAGAAGAUUUCAAAGUUCUUUACAUUCUUUGCUCUGCUUUGGGACAAGGCACAGAAAUGUUGGUAUUUGCUGUAGAAAGGGAAAAUUUUAAAAUAAAAAUCAAUUCAGAAUCCAGUUCUGGGCAAAAUGGCACCUCCUGACUCUUCAGAAUAUCUGUUGAAAUCCUACAGCCUCAAGAAUUCGGAGUCAAAUUAUUAAUUUUGUACAAUGAAUAUAAAAGAGUAAUUGAAGCAU